GCUGCUGUUAAAGAUUAUACUGAAAGAUUUGACAAAGUCAAGUUGGAGAAGCUUGUUGAGAAUGUAUCUGAGCUUCCUGACCCAGAGCUUGGUGCAGCUGUUAGGGAAGCAUUUGAUGUGGCAUAUGACAAUAUAUAUGCAUUUCAUCUUGCUCAAAAAGCAGCUGAAAAAAAAUGUUGAAAACAUGAAAGGUGUUAGAUGCAAACGGGUGGCAAGGAGCAUUUCUUCUGUAGGUCUUUAUGUUCCAGGGGGAACUGCAGUUUUACCUUCAACAGCUCUGAUGCUUUCAGUUCCUGCACAGAUUGCUGGGUGUAAAACCAUUGUUCUUGCUACUCCUCCAAGUCA
rnacentral:misc_RNA from 1 species